UACGGUCAUAUUAUGUUGCAACACCGGUACCCUUAUGAUCAUCGAAGUUAAGCAACAUCGAGCUUGGCCAGUAAGCAAAUGGGAGACUGCUUGGGAAUAUCAGCUGCUGUAG